CUGAGAGUCGCCCUUAACAACCCAACAACAACAACAAGUUUGAACUGCACAGUGAGUUUAUUAUCAAAGAUACCUCAGAUGGAUCAGCUGGAAUAAGGUAGAGGGAGUUCAGAAAACUUCCAACAAGGUAGUCACUUGCUCGAAGACUGGUAGAGAAGAAAUCAUCUAAUAUAUUGACUGUUUCAGAAGGGAGCAUUACAUCCAGUGCCCAUUGAUUACCAACCAAAAGCAACUUGCUGCCUGGUCCCACUGCUGGGCCACUGACCACAGGCAACUUCUUGGCCAGUCCCACUGCGGGAAUUACUGACCACAGGCAACAUCUUGGCCAGUCCCACUGCUGGACCACUGACCACAUCGCACUCAGUUCCACCGACAGCAAAGUUUCACUCACGGACCAUUGAGG